rnacentral:rRNA from 1 species
GAUCCUGGCUCAGGACGAACGCUGGCGGCGUGCCUAACACAUGCAAGUCGAACGGAGUUAAGAGAGCUUGCUCUUUUAACUUAGUGGCGGACGGGUGAGUAACGCGUGAGUAACCUGCCUUUCAGAGGGGAAUAACAUUCUGAAAAGAAUGCUAAUACCGCAUGAGAUCGUAGUAUCGCAUGGUACAGCGACCAAAGGAGCAAUCCGCUGAAAGAUGGACUCGCGUCCGAUUAG